CGAAAAGCAAACGGUGACUUAUCCGUGUUAGUCGGCGCUGAAGUCGCUACACUUUUCGACGAGAAGGAGUUGAGAUCAGUCGUCACUCCCGCUAACGUCCGCACGUCAACCGGCAACUCCCACUCUUUUAAAAUACCACGCUCGUAUUCGUUUGCUAUCUUUGACAAUGCGGGGGCUAGUAUCUGGAAAGCCAUUACGGUUUUGCGGUUACCAAACAUGUUCAAGUUCCGCCCAGAUAAGAAAAGUUGUAGUAUCUGCUCAAGACCCAGCGCGGUUGGCGGGUUCAUCCGGUAGAUUUUUACUUGUUUUGUUUAAGCGUUUUCCUAAAAUUUGUAAAAAAAAUAGACUUAGAAUUGGAGAAAAAUAUGCGUUAGUUAAUAAUCUAUCCUGUGUGCCUGCAAAAUUUUCCGAACAGUUCCGGGGUCGAAACAAUCGAGCGGGCUCCGCAUCAUCAUCAUCGAAUAUUGGGUUGACGUGCAAUCAGUAUUCCGCGGCACGUUACAGCAUUUCCUCCCUUCUUUUAUUUGGGAAACAGAAGGAAGUUGUACUCCUCCCCUCCCCUCCCCGGCCCCCCUUCGCCCCUUACAUACUUCACCUCCUCCGUCCUGUCGUCCUCUGUGUACCCGUGUCAAUAUCCAUUUCCUGCCCAUGCUACUUUUCUUCCAGUUUGUUGUACAGGAACGAACAAAAUCUUAUUCCCUGGACUACAAAUCAAAUGAAUAAUUUUUUAAGGGGCUAAAAA